rnacentral:rRNA from 1 species
UUCCGGUUGAUCCUGCCGGAGGCCACUGCUAUGGGAGUCCGACUAAGCCAUGCGAGUCCAAGGGGGGUUUGCCACCGGCGGACGGCUCAGUAACACGUGGACAACCUGCCCUCGGGAGGGGGAUAACCCCGGGAAACUGGGGCUAAACCCCCAUAGGGCAUAGGUGCUGGAAUGCCCUAUGUCCGAAAUUCCGAAAGGAGCCCGAGGAUGGGUCUGCGGCCUAUCAGGUUGUAGUGGGGGUAACGGCCCCACUAGCCUACGACGGGUACGGGCCCUGGGAGGGGGAGCCCGGAGAUGGACUCUGAGACAAGAGUCCAGGCCCUACGGGGCGCAGCAGGCGCGAAACCUCCGCAAUGCGGGAAACCGCGACGGGGGGACUCCCAGUGCCUACGCUUUGCGUUAAGGCUGUUCCCGGAGCCUAAAAAGCUCCGGGAAUAAGGGCUGGGCAAGACGGGUGCCAGCCGCCGCGGUAAUACCCGCAGGCCGAGUGGUGGCCACUUUUAUUGGGCCUAAAGCGUCCGUAGCCGGGCCGGUAAGUGCCUGGGUAAAUCUUGGGGCCAAACCUCACGAAUUCCCGGGAGACUGCCGGGCUUGGGAACGGAGAAAGUGAGAGGUACUCCAGGGGUAGGGGUGAAAUCCUGUAAUCCCUGGAGGACCACCCGGGGCGAAAGCGCUCCUCCAGGACGGGUCCGACGGUUAAGGACGAAAGCCAGGGGAGCAAACCGGAUUAUAUACCCCGGUAGUCCUGGCCGUAAACGAUGUGGACU